AGUGAACGCUGGCGGUAGGCCUAACACAUGCAAGUCGAACGGCAGCACAGUAAGAGCUUGCUCUUACGGGUGGCGGGUGGCGGACGGGUGAGGAAUACAUCGGAAUCUACUUUUUCGGGGGGGAUAACGUAGGGAAACUUACGCUAAUACAGCAGACGAUCUACGGGGGAAAGCAGGGGAUCUUCGGACCUUGCGCGAUUGAAUGAGCCGCUGUCGGAUUAGCUAGUUGGCGGGGUAAAGGCCCACCAAGGCGACGAUCCGUAGCUGGUCUGAGAGGAGGGUAGGCGACAUUGGAAGUUGAACGGCGUCAAGGCUACUGCGGGAGGCACCAGUGGGGAAUAGUGGACAAUGGGCGCAAGCCUGACCCAGCCAGCGCGAGUCGGUGGAGAAAGCCUUCCGGUUGUAAAGCCCUUUUGUUGGUUAAGAAAAGCUGCAGCUUAAUACGCCGCUGUUCUGACGGUAACCAAUGAAUAAGCACCGGCUAACUUCGUG
rnacentral:rRNA from 1 species